rnacentral:rRNA from 1 species
UACGUAGGGCGCGAGCGUUGUCCGGAUUUAUUGGGCGUAAAGAGCUCGUAGGCGGCCUGUCGCGUCGAAUGUGAAAUCUCAGGGCUCAACUCUGACAUUGCAUUCGAUACGGGCAGGCUAGAGUUCGGUAGGGGAGACUGGAAUUCCUGGUGUAGCGGUGAAAUGCGCAGAUAUCAGGAAGAACACCCGUGGCUAAGGCGGCUCUCUAGUACGGUACUGACGCUGAGACGCGAAAGCGUGGGGAGCGAACAGG